rnacentral:rRNA from 1 species
UGCCAGCCGCCGCGGUAAUACGGAGGGGGUUAGCGUUGUUCGGAAUUACUGGGCGUAAAGCGCGCGUAGGCGGAUUGGAAAGUUAGAGGUGAAAUCCCAGGGCUCAACCCUGGAACUGCCUUUAAAACUCCCAGUCUUGAGUUCGAGAGAGGCGAGUGGAAUUCCGAGUGUAGAGGUGAAAUUCGUAGAUAUUCGGAGGAACACCAGAGGCGAAGGCGAUGCACUGGACCGGUACUGACGCUGAGGUGCGAAAGUGUGGGGAGCAAACAGGAUUACUUA